CAGUCGAUCUGCUGCGGACUGAUAAAAUGGAUAUGGGUAUCAAUACCACCUGCUGUGACGAUCAUUCCUUCUCCUGCCAGCGCCUCUGUGGAUGCACCAACGGUCAUUCCAGGUGUCACCCCGUCCAUGAUAUCCGGGUUUCCUGCUUUUCCGAUCCCUGCGAUCUUUCCGUCUUUGAUUCCGAUAUCUGCCUUGAUGAUCCCAGUGGUAUCCACGAUCAGGGCGUUGGUGAUCACCAGAUCCAGAUCUCCAUCACGGCUGCAUGUUUUUACUGACUGGCCCAUUCCGUCACGG
rnacentral:sRNA from 1 species